GACAGAGGUGCCAAGCGUUAGGCGGAAUCACUGGGCUUAAAGCGUGUGUAGGCGGGUCGUUAAGUACCUUGUGAAAUCCCACGGCUCAACCGUGAACUGCUUGGUAUACUGGCGAUCUUGAGCCAGCUAGGGGCUACCGGAACAAACGGUGGAGCGGUGAAAUGCGUAGAUAUCGUUUGGAACGCCAAUGGUGAAAACAGGUAGCUGGGGCUGUGCUGACGCUGAGACACGAAAGCCAGGGGAGCGAACGGG
rnacentral:rRNA from 1 species